ACAUGCAAGUCGAGCGGAUGAAAGGAGCUUGCUCCUGGAUUCAGCGGCGGACGGGUGAGUAAUGCCUAGGAAUCUGCCUGGUAGUGGGGGACAACGUUUCGAAAGGAACGCUAAUACCGCAUACGUCCUACGGGAGAAAGCAGGGGACCUUCGGGCCUUGCGCUAUCAGAUGAGCCUAGGUCGGAUUAGCUAGUUGGUGAGGUAAUGGCUCACCAAGGCGACGAUCCGUAACUGGUCUGAGAGGAUGAUCAGUCACACUGGAACUGAGACACGGUCCAGACUCCUACGGGAGGCAGCAGUGGGGAAUAUUGGACAAUGGGCGAAAGCCUGAUCCAGCCAUGCCGCGUGUGUGAAGAAGGUCUUCGGAUUGUAAAGCACUUUAAGUUGGGAGGAAGGGCAGUAAAUUAAUACUUUGCUGUUUUGACGUUACCGACAGAAUAAGCACCGGCUAACUCUGUGCCAGCAGCCGCGGUAAUACAGAGGGUGCAAGCGUUAAUCGGAAUUNCUGGGCGUAAAGCGCGCGUAGGUGGUUUGUUAAGUUGGAUGUGAAAUCCCCGGGCUCAACCUGGGAACUGCAUUCUAAACUGACAAGCUAGAGUAUGGUAGAGGGUGGUGGAAUUUCCUGUGUAGCGGUGAAAUGCGUAGAUAUAGGAAGGAACACCAGUGGCGAAGGCGACCWCCUGGACUGAUACUGACACUGAGGUGCGAAAGCGUGGGGAGCAAA
rnacentral:rRNA from 2 species